rnacentral:rRNA from 1 species
UACGUAGGGGGCAAGCGUUGUCCGGAAUCAUUGGGCGUAAAGCGCGUGUAGGCGGUUCGAUAAGUCUGCUGUGAAAGUCCAGGGCUCAACCCUCGGAUGCCGGUGGAUACUGUCGGGCUUGAGUACGGAAGAGGCGAGUGGAAUUCCUGGUGUAGCGGUGAAAUGCGCAGAUAUCAGGAGGAACACCAAUUGCGAAGGCAGCUCGCUGGGACGUUACUGACGCUGAGACGCGAAAGCGUGGGGAGCAAACAGG